rnacentral:ncRNA from 1 species
UUGGUAGAGGCGCAUUGAUUAAGAGUAGGCUGUAUGAUAUGGCAGGCAUAGUGGAUUACAGCCAAAAGGAUGAGAUGCCGAAGUGUGCAUUCCCCUGCUGAAUGUAGUGCUGGGAAUAUGGUGAAUAAUCAUAUUACUGUCAUCAAUAUUAUGAUGGAGAGCUACCGAAU